UACGUAGGGUGCAAGCGUUGUCCGGAAUUAUUGGGCGUAAAGAGCUCGUAGGCGGUUUGUCGCGUCUGCUGUGAAAACGCGAGGCUCAACCUCGCGCCUGCAGUGGGUACGGGCAGACUAGAGUGCGGUAGGGGAGAUUGGAAUUCCUGGUGUAGCGGUGGAAUGCGCAGAUAUCAGGAGGACACCGAUGGCGAAGGCAGAUCUCUGGGCCGUUACUGACGCUGAGGAGCGAAAGCGUGGGGAGCGAACAGGAUUAGAAACCCUAGG
rnacentral:rRNA from 1 species